rnacentral:rRNA from 1 species
UAAUACGGAGGUUCCUAGCGUUGUUCGGAAUUACUGGGCGUAAAGGGAGCGCAGGCGGACGGGUCAGUUUAAAGUGGAAUCCCAGGGCUCAACCCUGGACGUGCUUUGGAUACUGCCUGUCUUGAGUUCGUGAGAGGAAAGUGGAAUUCAGGGUGUAGCGGUGAAAUGCUUAGAUAUCCUGAGGAACACCAGUGGCGAAAGCGACUUUCUGGCACGAAACUGACGCUGAGGCUCGAAAGCAUGGGUAGCGAACGGG